rnacentral:misc_RNA from 1 species
UCCGGUUUGUCACCGGCGGUCUCCUUAGAGUUCCCACCAUUACGUGCUGGCAACUAAGGACAAGGGUUGCGCUCGUUGCGGGACUUAACCCAACAUCUCACGACACGAGCUGACGACAGCCAUGCAGCACCUGUGUUCGAGUUCCCGAAGGCACCAAUCCAUCUCUGGAAAGUUCUCGACAUGUCAAGGCCAGGUAAGGUUCUUCGCGUUGCAUCGAAUUAAGCCGGAGGAAGGUGGGGAUGACGUACCAGUAUCGGAA